rnacentral:rRNA from 1 species
CCCUUAGAUGUUCUGGGCCGCACGCGCGCUACACUGACUGGUGCAACAAGUGUCGCUCCUUGGCCGAUAGGCCUGGGCAAUCUUUGAACGCCAGUCGUGAUGGGGAUAGAUUCUUGCAAUUUUUGAUCUUCAACGAGGAAUUCCUAGUAAACGCGAGUCAUCAACUCGCAUUGAUUACGUCCCUGCCCUUUGUACACACCGCCCGUCGCACCUACCGAUUGAAUGGUCCGGUGAACCCUCCGGAUCGACCCGCGCCAACGCAAGUUGAGCAAAGGCCGAGAAGUUGGGUAAACCUUACCAUUUAGAGGAAGGUGAAGUCGUAACA